CCUCAACUCAAGCUCCAUUUCCUCCGUUACUUCAGUUAAAAGACCCACCUCCCAUCUGCCCCAAAUGAAACCAGUAUAUAGGAAUGUCACUGCAGCAGCACCCAAAAGUCCUGCAAGAAUUGUGAAGAUUGGUUGCAGCCAGCUUUUCGGUUGCCAUGCUGAACCCACGAGACGAAGGGUCCCAAGGGCACUGCGGAUGGUAGAUGCUUUAGGGAUGGACGAUGUGGAUGUUCGGGGGGAACUCGGAUUGCUGGAACGGGAAUGAUUUUUGAACGGAUCUCGUACAGCAUAAACAUUCGAGCCAAUUGGAUCAGCCUUUGAUUGGGAUAGGAUAGGCAUUAGGGGUUCAGAUGAAUUGUCGUGUGAUAAGUUCG
rnacentral:sRNA from 1 species